rnacentral:tRNA from 1 species
GUGGUGGUAGCUUAUAUUAUUAAAGCACAAUUUUGAAGCAAUUAUAAAGGCUUUGCCCCACUACA